GACGAACGCUGGCGGCGUGCUUAACACAUGCAAGUCGAACGAAGUGGCGAACGGGUGAGUAACGCGUAAUAAACCUGCCCUUAAGAGGGGGACAACAGUUGGAAACGACUGCUAAUACCGCAUACUGAAGGAGGGGAUUGCGUCUGAGUAGCGAGUUGGAGGGGUAACGGCCCACCAAGGCGAUGAUGAGUAGCCGGUCGUAGUGGAUGAACGGCCACCUUGGGAAUGAGAAACGGCCCAGACUCCUACGGGAGGCAACAGUGGUGAAUCUUCCGCAAUGGACGAAAGUCUGACGGAGCAACGCCGCGUGAGUGAUGACGGCCUUCGGGGUGUAAAGCUCUGUUAAUCGGGACGCGGUACCUGAAUAGAAAGCCACGGCUAACUACGUGCCAGCCGCCGCGGUAAUAC
rnacentral:rRNA from 1 species